rnacentral:lncRNA from 1 species
UUCAGGAAAUGAAGUGAUAUUUUUACAUCCAUCCACAACUAGAGACUGUAGAGAACCCAUCCCACUCAUUUCAGGAAGUGAAGUGAGAUUAUGGCAUUCUUCCACAUAUAAAGUACGUAGAGACGUACAAUACUUUAGCAUUUCAUUUGGCAGGUUGCACAACUCAUGGCAAUAUCUAAUUUCCAAAUUCUGAAGGGAACGAAGACCUUCUUGUCCAUUUUGAUACAAAAUUGAUUGCAGUUCUUUACAAUCAAAUAUUUCCAAAUUCUCAAGAGACUGGAGGCUACCUAGGUCAUAGGGUAAUUCCCUCAAUUCACAACAACACAAAAUUUCCAUCCUUUUAAGAGAAGCUCUGCUGCCCCGCAAGUGGUGAACACGAACCAACUUUUCACAUUUAUUUAACUUCAAAUAUUCAAGGCAAGGAAAUACCUGUGUUCCGCUCAUUUGUGCUUCUUCCCAAUUUAUUAGGUUCGGCAUGUUCAUUAUUACGAGACUUUUGAGUGACGGGAAUGAUUCUCUUAUCUCUUGGCCAUCGUUGCUGCUAUUUGUGGUACAAUCACUCUCUCCAUAGAAUGAUGAUCUUAUCAAUGUUACGUUAUCUAGACCCUCGAUAAGUAGAUACUUGAGGAGUGGUAGAUGGCCGAGCACUGGGAUUUCUUCGCAAUUGCCACAACUCAUAAUUUCGAUCUUGAUCAAUUUAUCAAAUAUCACCGGAGGGCCAGAAUUGCCUUUAUAUAUUCUCAUUUUUCUAGUCCAUAAUGGAAAUGUUUUACCUCGGAAUCCAUCAAUCGUUAGGCAUUUUAGCUUUUCAUGAGGUUGCAGCCCUUCAAGUACACUCUCAUCAUUGACGUUACUUUCUAUGGAAUUCGUUGACUUUCUCCAAUGAAAGUAUAACUUAUAUAUGUUUGGCUUUCCAGCCAUAUCUGCACGCUCAGCUUCUGUUUUGCUGCUCACCAAUUCCAGAUUUCGUAUUUUUGUUUGCCCUUUAAUUUCUUCAACUUUCCCAGCUCGUCGAUUCGACAACCUUCCUUGUCACUCACACAAAAUAAUGAUAAAGUUUGAAGGCAAGAUAAACUUCCGAUUUUAGGUGGCAUCUCGAAAUCAUCGGUAACACUUUCAAUAUAGAGAUGCUUUAAACGAGUCAAGAAUCGCAGAUCUCUAGGAAGCCUUUCAAGCUCGCGAUCACUGGAGAGCCAAUUAAUCCUCAAAGUUUGCAAAUUGUAGAGCAUGCAGAUAGAUUCUGGCAGAGCAGUGAGAUCAAAAUUGUUGGACACAUCAAGAUAUCUCAAAUGUUUCAGCGUGCCAAUUGAUGUUGGCAAUUCUUCAAUAUCUGCAUCACAUAGCUUUAGAGAAUGCAAAUGCUUGAAGUACGGCAAAAUUCCAUCUGGUACGCUUCUUAAGAACAAGGUGCGGAGAUUACUUGCUCUCUCUUUUAUGUCCUUGACUAUUUCCUCUCCAAUUGAUUCUAUUGCAAGGUGUCUAAAUUGAAGAAUGUCAUCAACAGUGCGACCCUCCGUAUUCAUGAAACUUUCUGAUUUCGAAACUGAACAUGCAAGAUCAUGGACAAGAUCGUGCAUCUUGCAGCUUUUGAUUUUGCCAUACUUGUCCUUUUCGGGCUCUUGGAAGAAGAAAUUUUCCAACAAAAUAUUAAAAUAUUUAUUGCCUACAGAUUCAAUCUCACUUUUUUUAUCAUUCUGAAGAAAUCCUUCCGCCAUCCAGAGCUGAAUUAAGUCUUCUCUAUCCAUGACCGAAUCCUUGAUAAAUAUUGAACAAUAGGCAAAACAUUUUUUCAGUGAUGAAGAAGGUAAGCGAUCAUA